rnacentral:lncRNA from 1 species
AUGAUGUGGAGGGACAGGGACCAGGGAACAUUGUGCCGCCUCCCCUAUCCCGCUACUUUCGCUGGUGACCGUGGCUAUGGUCCUGAAAAAGGAGUGAGCGAUGAGAGGAGAUAGUGAUAUAGCGUUAAGGAAGGAGUUAUGAAAGAAUAUAACGCAUAGCCUUAUAGAAAAAUUUAGAAAUGCGAUCAUGAAAGAAUAUAACGCAUAGCCUUAUAAAAAAAUUUAGAAAUGCGAUCUUUAAUUAAGUAAAUGAAAAAUAUAAUUCAAGGUUUAAACACAAGGAUAAUUCCAAGCCUUUCACCGUCACCGCAUCACUUCUUAUGUGUAAACUAAUACACUAACAUAAAAUGUAAGAGUGACAAAGCAUAAUCCGAAUCCGAAUCUGAAAAAGUCAUAAACAAUAAUUCGAGGUUUAAACACAAGGAUAAUUCCAAGCCUUUCACCAUCACCACAUCACUUCUUACGUGUAAACUAAUACACUAACAUAAAAUAUAAGAGUGACAAAGCAUAAUCCGAAUCCGAAAAAGUCAUAAACAAUAAUUUUUAAAUAAAAUAGAGUAACAAAACCAAACAAAUUUAUUAACACACCUUCAAACUUAACAUUCUUUAUAUAACUAGUUUAGUCAUAUACAUGUAUAUAAAUACCUUAAAUAUGAUCAGAACAUUUCUUCUCAUCAUCUACCAUCUACUUGACUAAAUGUUACUCCAUUAACUGAUGAUGAUAGUAAAGGAAGAAUUGAGGGGGAGUUGAUUUCACCUUCUUGAAUAUAGAAAGCUGGUUUAUUGGGAGACGGAAGUGAUCCCUCACCACCCAACAUCGCCACGACAGUCUGUGUGUCAGGCCGAUCUUCUACUCGGUGUUGUACACACAAUAGGCCAACAUGUACUGAUCGUAAAACUUCAUAAGCAGAAUAGGAUGUGCCAAAACAUUCAUCAAUCAGAUCUAGAGGUUUGCCUUCUCUGUAAAGUCUCCAUGCCUAUAUGAAUCCAAAUAAAAAAAAAACGAAUUUAGUUCAUAUCAGAAGGUACAUCUGUGUUCUUCAGUACAGAUUAGUUCUUAUUAGGUGUUUUUAGAGCUUCAAUAGCCAUACAUCAGGAAUAGGCUCAUUGUCCCACACAAUAUAGAGUGAGGUUUAAAUAAGAACGUAUAGGGACAAGAAACCUGUUUUUCGCCCGUUGAUCAUGGAGUGCGGGAGGGAAUUUGUGAUUCAUGGAGUAUAACAUACAUAUAUAUUGAUCCAGUGGUCAAUAAAUGGUUUCCUUGCGGUUCUUAAUUUUAUUUAAUACUUUUUUGUUU